GACGAACGCUGGCGGCGUGCUUAACACAUGCAAGUCGAACGGUAAGGCCCUUCGGGGUACACGAGUGGCGAACGGGUGAGUAACACGUGGGUGAUCUGCCCUGCACUUCGGGAUAAGCCUGGGAAACUGGGUCUAAUACCGGACAGGACCACUGCCUGCAUGGGUGGUGGUGGAAAGCUUUUGCGGUGUGGGAUGGGCCCGCGGCCUAUCAGCUUGUUGGUGGGGUGAUGGCCUACCAAGGCGACGACGGGUAGCCGGCCUGAGAGGGUGACCGGCCACACUGGGACUGAGAUACGGCCCAGACUCCUACGGGAGGCAGCAGUGGGGAAUAUUGCACAAUGGGCGCAAGCCUGAUGCAGCGACGCCGCGUGAGGGAUGACGGCCUUCGGGUUGUAAACCUCUUUCAGCACCGACGAAGCGUAAGUGACGGUAGGUGCAGAAGAAGGACCGGCCAACUACGUGCCAGCAGCCGCGGUAA
rnacentral:rRNA from 1 species